rnacentral:rRNA from 1 species
GAAGUCGUAACAAGGUUUCCGUAGGUGAACUGCGGAAGGAUCAUUGUCGAACCCUGCAAAAGCAGAACGACCCGUGAACAUGUACCCACAAUUGGGAGUCGGGUAUAUUGGCAUAGUCCUUCAUUCCCGCCUCCCUGUCGGCGUACGUCGAUGGUGCCUAAUUCAGGUUGCCAUUGAUGUCAUGUUGGCACUCUAACAAACCCCGGCACGGCAUGUGCCAAGGAAAACAAUAACUGAGAAGGACCGUCCAUCAUCGCCCCGUUCGCGGUGUGCGUGUUGGUGUGUCCUCCUUGAAAUCACAAACGACUCUCGGCAACGGAUAUCUCGGCUCACGCAUCGAUGAAGAACGUAGCAAAAUGCGAUACUUGGUGUGAAUUGCAGAAUCCCGUGAACCAUCGAGUUUUUGAACGCAAGUUGCGCCCGAAGCCAUUCGGCCGAGGGCACGCCUGCCUGGGCGUCACGCAUCGCGUCGCCCCCAACCAUUCAUCCCCAUAAGGAUGCUUGGCAUGGGAGCGGAGAUUGGCCUCCCGUGCCUUUGGUGCGGUUGGCCUAAACUGGAGUCACCUUCGGUGGACGCACGACUAGUGGUGGUUGAAUAGACCCUCGUCCUGUGUUGUGCGUCGUAAGCUGUGAGGGAGGCCCUUGUUGAAGACCCCAACGUGUCGUCUUGCGACGACGCUUCGACCGCGACCCCAGGUCAGCGGGACUACCCGCUGAGUUU